rnacentral:rRNA from 1 species
ACGGAGGGUGCAAGCGUUAUUCGGAAUCACUGGGUGUAAAGCGCGUGUAGGCGGUUUGGUAAGUCAGGUGUGGAAGCUUCGGGCUUAACCCGAAAAGUGCACUUGAAACUACCAGGCUUGAGUCCCGGAGAGGAAGGUGGAAUUCCCAGUGUAGAGGUGAAAUUCGUAGGUAUUGGGAGGAACAUUGGUGGCGAAGGCGACCCUCCGGGCGGUGACUGAAGCUGAGACGCCAAAGCGUGGGGAGCAAACAG